rnacentral:misc_RNA from 1 species
AAAGACACUGCCAAUGAAGCUGUAAACUUGAGCAAAGUCUGGCAUAACUUUCAUUUGCUUCUGGCUCUCAUUUUGGUCAUUGCUCUCUUUAGUCUUAUUAAUCCUAGGGUUGUUUUCAUUACUGCUGCUGCUGCAAUUUUGCUUGACUCCUCCACUGGAUAAUUGUGCGUCAUCUUUUCUCGUCUGUAUCGUGCUAAUGGCAGGCACAUUGUCGUAAGUCCAGGGAGAAAAAUUAAUUGUAUUUCCAGGUACUGAUAAAGGAUCGGGCCCGAUACCAAAUCCGGGUACAGGCAGGGCACCAGGAGGUUGAAAUUGGAUGCUGCCGACUUGGGAAAUAACCUUUUUAGGAGCUUUUUGUGGAUAAGGAUGAGAAGCUUUUCUCUUUGGGCGUGGGGGAGGUACAUGUUCACUAGUUCCACUCUUCUGGACCUUCAGAAAGUAUUUCUGUGCAUGGCUACGUAUCUGG